GUUAAGCGACUAAGCGUACACGGUGGAUGCCCUGGCAGUCAGAGGCGAUGAAGGACGUGCUAAUCUGCGAUAAGCGUCGGUAAGGUGAUAUGAACCGUUAUAACCGGCGAUUUCCGAAUGGGGAAACCCAGUGUGUUUCGACACACUAUCAUUAACUGAAUCCAUAGGUUAAUGAGGCGAACCGGGGGAACUGAAACAUCUAAGUACCCCGAGGAAAAGAAAUCAACCGAGAUUCCCCCAGUAGCGGCGAGCGAACGGGGAGCAGCCCAGAGCCUGAAUCAGUGUGUGUGUUAGUGGAAGCGUCUGGAAAGGCGCGCGAUACAGGGUGACAGCCCCGUACACAAAAAUGCACAUGCUGUGAGCUCGAUGAGUAGGGCGGGACACGUGGUAUCCUGUCUGAAUAUGGGGGGACCAUCCUCCAAGGCUAAAUACUCCUGACUGACCGAUAGUGAACCAGUACCGUGAGGGAAAGGCGAAAAGAACCCCGGCGAGGGGAGUGAAAAAGAACCUGAAACCGUGUACGUACAAGCAGUGGGAGCACGCUUAGGCGUGUGACUGCGUACCUUUUGUAUAAUGGGUCAGCGACUUAUAUUCUGUAGCAAGGUUAACCGAAUAGGGGAGCCGAAGGGAAACCGAGUCUUAACUGGGCGUUAAGUUGCAGGGUAUAGACCCGAAACCCGGUGAUCUAGCCAUGGGCAGGUUGAAGGUUGGGUAACACUAACUGGAGGACCGAACCGACUAAUGUUGAAAAAUUAGCGGAUGACUUGUGGCUGGGGGUGAAAGGCCAAUCAAACCGGGAGAUAGCUGGUUCUCCCCGAAAGCUAUUUAGGUAGCGCCUCGUGAAUUCAUCUCCGGGGGUAGAGCACUGUUUCGGCAAGGGGGUCAUCCCGACUUACCAACCCGAUGCAAACUGCGAAUACCGGAGAAUGUUAUCACGGGAGACACACGGCGGGUGCUAACGUCCGUCGUGAAGAGGGAAACAACCCAGACCGCCAGCUAAGGUCCCAAAGUCAUGGUUAAGUGGGAAACGAUGUGGGAAGGCCCAGACAGCCAGGAUGUUGGCUUAGAAGCAGCCAUCAUUUAAAGAAAGCGUAAUAGCUCACUGGUCGAGUCGGCCUGCGCGGAAGAUGUAACGGGGCUAAACCAUGCACCGAAGCUGCGGCAGCGACGCUUAUGCGUUGUUGGGUAGGGGAGCGUUCUGUAAGCCUGUGAAGGUGUGCUGUGAGGCAUGCUGGAGGUAUCAGAAGUGCGAAUGCUGACAUAAGUAACGAUAAAGCGGGUGAAAAGCCCGCUCGCCGGAAGACCAAGGGUUCCUGUCCAACGUUAAUCGGGGCAGGGUGAGUCGACCCCUAAGGCGAGGCCGAAAGGCGUAGUCGAUGGGAAACAGGUUAAUAUUCCUGUACUUGGUGUUACUGCGAAGGGGGGACGGAGAAGGCUAUGUUGGCCGGGCGACGGUUGUCCCGGUUUAAGCGUGUAGGCUGGUUUUCCAGGCAAAUCCGGAAAAUCAAGGCUGAGGCGUGAUGACGAGGCACUACGGUGCUGAAGCAACAAAUGCCCUGCUUCCAGGAAAAGCCUCUAAGCAUCAGGUAACAUCAAAUCGUACCCCAAACCGACACAGGUGGUCAGGUAGAGAAUACCAAGGCGCUUGAGAGAACUCGGGUGAAGGAACUAGGCAAAAUGGUGCCGUAACUUCGGGAGAAGGCACGCUGAUAUGUAGGUGA
rnacentral:rRNA from 1 species